GGGCCUGUAGCUCAAUGGUUAGAGCCGGCCGCUCAUAACGGUCUGGCUCCCGGUUCGAGUCCGGGCGGGCCCACCA
rnacentral:tRNA from 1 species